rnacentral:misc_RNA from 1 species
UGUUAUCUAUCUUGAUAAAACGAAAUACCGAAUAUGGACAUGAGUUCCAAGAAGAAAUCACAAAUUCAAAUACUAUUCAGAAGAAUACGUAAAAAAUACAUUUAAUCUAGGUACGGUAUAAUAAAUAUGGAAGUCGAUGAUGAAGAUGUUAUUGCCGGCAAAGAAUUGCAAAAGUAUUUAAAUAUUGUCGGACAUUCAGAUUUAGAAUUUGAUUCAUGUAAACAAAAUAACAAUGAAAAGCUUUGUUUUUCUAAAGGUUAUACAAGAGAAUCAAAAUGCAUAAAAAAAAUUGUCAGACCAGCUAAAAAUCAUAUGAAAGAUUUUGAAUUGUGUUUAUCAUUAAUCAAGAUAAUAUUAGAAAGUCAACUUAUGUUUAAAGAAGAUACAUCAUUCAUUAGAGAGUUUAUUCCAUCAGAUUAUAUUGAGUAUCCAACAUUUUUUACAAAACAAAAUGGCUUGAAUCUUCUUUUAUUGUCCAUAUUUUGUGGUGUUCUAAAUGUAUUUUUACCAAAAUACUGUAAUGAAUGGACAGCAGUUGGAAUAUUAUUUAUGUGGUUGGGCUAUGUGUUUAUAGAAAUAUUAUUUAGCUUAAAUCAUAAUAGAAUGAUUAAAAAAACAAUAAUAAAAACUAUUGAGUCAAUGAAAAAAUCAUCGAUGCUUAUACAAAAAACUUCUAAUUUCCUUCAUGAGUGUAACAAUCUUCACUCUCUCUAUAAUGGAUAUAAUUACACGUAUGCCAGUAAGAAUGCUAAUGCUUUCAUAUAUUUACUUAUGCCAGAAUUGAAAAAUCUACUUUUAACUGUUAUGCAAGACUUGAUCAAUAAUCUUAUACAUAAUAUAUCGGAAAUACAUCAAUUUUUUCCAUUAAAAGAUUCUAUAUCCAACAUUGUAUAUUUAUACCUUACGGACUGUAAAAUAGAUUUGGAAAAUACAUCUUUAGAAAAUAUAAAUAAAGCUAAGUACACUUAUUUUUUAUUGCAAUCAGAAUUUUUGAAACUGUCAGCAUUAUGUUUUUGUCCAGUACUAUGGACACCCAACAGCUCUUCACAAAUGAACCGUCUGAUUGAAACUAUUGAAGAAAUUGAAAAGGUUUACUCAAAUUCAUAUGAUGUUUUAUAUGAUGAAUAUAAUAUUUAUUCACUAUUUAAAAAUAAUAAUAUGAAACACGAUAAGUAUUCUGGUAAAGAUACUAAUACUUCAGAUUUAAAAUUAAAGAUAUGCAGUAUUCGGCAAUUCCUUCAGAACAUGAUGGUACAUGUUAAGUUUAUGGAAGACUCAAUUGAAGAUAACACCUCAACUCAUUGCACUGAUAAUAUAAAUAGCACAUUAAAUGUUUUAGUGAAAGAAGUCAAUAUUUUUAAUGAACUAAUCUCAAAACUACAAAUUUAUUGUCUCAAGACAUGUAAUGAUGACAUGAAAGAUAAAGUUAAUUUGACUAAUAAUCAAAUUGAAGUAGUUGAUUAUACAGAAAAAGAGACUAUUGAACCAGAUAAGGGAAUUUGUAAAGAUGAGUUAUUUUUUGGUAUUUCCGAAGAAGUAACUGAAAUAAUAGACAAUAAAUCCUGCAACGAGGAAAUAUUUGAUAAAUCCAACAAUCAUCAUUUAAUGUUAGAGUUAAAAGUGGCCCUCAAAAAUAAGCAAGAAGAAUGGAAACAACGAGAGGAAAAAUUGAUGGAAAAACAUCCACUAUUUAAUGAUUUAUCAGAAGAAGAAAAGUGUGAUGAAAAAAAAUAUAUAUACAUAAAUAAAGUUCGUAAAGUUGCAUUAGACUUACCACCUGAUGAGAGAUUUCCUAUACAAUUGCCUUGUAAAAAUUUUGCCGAUGAAAUUGCUAUGGUUGCAUGUAAAUGGAAUACAGAAAUCAAAAGUUUUGGUGAUGAUUCAGACUCAGAUAUGUCAAGAAAUUCAAACGAUUCUUAAAUAAUAUUAUUAUGUUAAGAAUAAUAAACCAAGAUGAGAUAAUGAAAGAAUUAUGUGAGAAUUCAACAAUUCUUAAUGUUGUGGUGUUAAGUAUAGUAUGAAAAUUCAAGACUGAUUGUUUUAACUUCAAAUUACUAGGACCGUUUAGUAUGACUACUAGAGUAUUAGUAAAUAUUUACAGCUAAUAUUUGUGUAAUAUUUAAAACUAAAAUUAUUAAAUCAAUGAACAUAGUUCAA